rnacentral:lncRNA from 1 species
AUUUGUAACUAGUAAGAGUUUUUUUUCAUUCCCUGGACUUCAGUUAAGCGAAAACUGACUUGUAAUGACUAAACACAUCUUUAAGUUUAAAGGAUUUUAACUUAUACAUAACUAUAUAAAUGUGGUAUGAAAUAACUUUUAAACACAAAUGUGUUAUGAAAUGAUGUAAAAGGGGGACGAAAGAUACCAGAGGGACAGUCAAACUCAUAAAUCGAAAAUAAACUGACAACGCCAUGGCUAAAAAUACAAAAGACAAACAGACAAACAAUAGUACACAUGACACAACAUAGAAUAAACAACACGAACCCAAAACUUUGAACCAUAAGGCCAGACAUAUUUGAUGAAUAGUUUUUUCUUUGCAUUUUUCAGCUCCUUUUUUGGAGAAAUUGAUUUUUCAAAAAAAAAAAAUUAAAAAAAAAACGCU